UCAUUAAAUUGGAUUAAGAGUCUGAACAAACUCAAAUAUUUUGUGUUGUCUAUCAGCUUCAUCUCUUGUAUCCUACGAGUUUGGAGUUAAAUAACAGCACGACAUUC